rnacentral:lncRNA from 1 species
AACCCCGUAAAAAUGUUAUCAAAGUACUAUUUUGCCUCUUCAUUUAUCAUGAGAUUAUUCUCAAUUUAAUAAAUACAGAAAAUAGUAUAUUUUAAUUUGAUAUUCCUUUCAAAUACUAAUAAGUCUACUUUCCUUCUGCGUUUACAACCAAAAAGUACUCUUCAUUAUUUUCUAUGGCCUUUAAGAUCUGUUAACAAACACAGAAAGCUGGUCUCAAAUGACCCAGAAACCAGGGAUGAGACAUGGCAGGAGAAACAUGCUAAUGGCCCUGCUCAGACAGAACCCACACCCACACCCGUGCCCAGAGGCGGGUCAGGGCAAGGCUGGCGCAGCCAAGCCCAAUACUGUUUUUUUUCUGUAGACACACGUGGACUCCCUUGCUGUCACGUGGCGGAGGACCUGAGAAGGGCCCCUCAGGUCAAGGUCACAUCAUGGCCGGGAGGAGGUCUUGUACCACCCGUGCAGAAAGACUAAUACUCACCUGCACGUGACCACUCGAGCUUUUCUACAGCCAGCCUCCUCCAGGUUCUUAAAAGUGAAAACACUGCUUGGUGUCCUAUUUCUUUGGGGCUAAUGGAAAAUGCCUGCCUACCUAGACUUAUUUUCAUUUUCUCUCAAAAAAAAAAAAAAAAAAAUCCUUGCACUUGCAGUUUUCUCAAAUCAUCCUAGGCACAUAGAAAAUAUUUUCAAUUAAAAGUAUCUGAUGUUAGAGGUUAGGGGACUACAGUGGGUUUUUAAAGAACUUUAUUUUGGAUUAUUGUUUAUCUACCAUCCUGAUUAGAUCAUGGAAUAAUUUAGUAUGCUUUUACAUAUUUUACAAAUUUACCGUUUCCAAUAGUUUCUAGUUUUAUUUAAGCUGAACCACAUGCCAUGAUCAUUUCUAGGUCAACGAUGCUGAAUAUCAGCAAUUUCAUAUGGCUCCAUCUGGUUACACUGUGAUUAAGACAUAAUGUUCUUGGAGUUCCCGUCAUGGCUCAGUGGUUAACCAACCUGACCAGGAUCCAUGAGGAUGCAGGACUGAUCCCUGGCCUCGCUCAGUGGGUUAAGGAUUUGGAGUUGCCCUGAGCUGUGGUGUAGGCUGCAGACACGUAGGUUGCUAUGGCUGUGGCAUAGGCCAGCGGCUACAGCUACAAUUCAACCCCUAGCCUGGGAACCUCCAUAUGCUGCGGGUGUGGCCCUAAAAUAGCAGAAAAAAAGAAAAAAUAAGAAAAAAGAACUCAUGUUCUUUCCUUUGAUGAAUGGGUUAGGCUAGCAUUUGGUUAAAACAUCCACUGUACCUUUCUUAUCUUCUGAUGCUCUCCCUGGUCCCGUUCCAACUUAAUAUUUAAUUUUUACUAAGAUCUCCCUGCCUCUUUCUCCUUCUCAUGCCGUAUAAUUCAACAAUUAUUUCAAUCUCUCCUGAAAAUACAGUUUAUAAAUAAAUGGGUUUCAGGUAGCUUCAGAAACAUUACCAAAUCACAGUACUACAAGCUUGAAAAGGCUAGAUCCGCCAUUGGAAGUAAGCAGGUGUUUUGCCUUUUCCUUCCUGAUCACUGAGCUUACAGGUUAAAGAAAGUCCUUUACAGACGAGAACAGUUUAAACCAGCAUCCCUCUCCCAGGAGACAGAAACGCUCUCUCGUUCUCCACACUGCCACCUGGUGGUUCUCCACACGAACCACGCCUCUUGCUCUGGCUUCCAUUCAUAACCCACGAGAGAGAAACAGAGCCUGGGUCUUGGCUUUGGCUCGCCCGGCCUUUGGAAAUCAUGAGCCUACACCGGCACACCCUGCAGAAGCCCAGCCCUGACCACGCCUUCUGGAAUUUGGGGGGGUCUGUCUUCCAAAAACUCCAGUGAGGGUGUUCUGGGCUGUGACACUAUUCCAUGGGGCAGAUUUCUGUGGAUAUGUGAUUCUUUGAAGAGCUUUUCACUUGCUAACAACAUAUCCUCUAGGGACCUGCAGGGGACAGGUCUCCCAGAGGAACAGCUAAGCUGUCAACGUAUCCCUUGCCACCAAGGAGAGCCACUGCUUCACUGUGUUUCAAAUGCAAAGUUUGUGGGUAACACCGUGAUGGGAGUCAGGGAGCCCCAAGAGUGAAGCAACAAGAUUUCUUCAACACAUUUUCAUCCAUAUGUGGAGCUUACAACUCUAGGUGUCAAAGGUAACUUAGCUGUUUUCUAGAACCGCCCAGUGGACUGGGCUGGAGGUCUGACUGUAAGAUUGACAAAAAGCCUCUUUGCUGUGACGCUUCAGAACGUCACUCACACCUCACUUUCUGCCAUCGAUUUUUUUUAAUAGUCGAGGAUUACAAAUCAUAAUAUUAGGGCAAAUGACCCAGAGGUGCUCUGUAUGUUCUCAUCACUGGGCCCAUUUUCCUGGGACAAAGGCUGGGAUGUUACGUUCGUGUGUCUUAGCGUGCUGACAAAAGUUUACGUCCCUCUUCAUUCUUCCCUCUCCUUCCUGUCCUUCUCUACACUGUCACCUUGUCAUGGACACGCUAUGUCAGCCACGUAAGAAUCUAAUUCAUUAGCCAAGAGCGAUGCAGAAGAGCUGUGCAAACUUAUAGCAAUUAAGAUGACUGGGUCACACUGUCACUAACUGCUACUGUCAGGGAAAAACUCGGGGAAGAAAUAAGUCUUGAGAAUGACCUCAGGCAUGUGGCUGCAACCGUGGUGUGGGUUCGAUCACUGGCCAGGGAACUUCUACAUGGCUGCGAGUGCGGCCAAGAACCAACCAACCAACCAACCAACCAAUAAAACUAGCCAAAAAGGAAAACCAACCAACCAGCCAACCAAACUUAACAAGAAAAAAUUUUACUAGCACCAUGGUGAUGGCUUAUUUGAACUUAAGUUCUCUUCCAGUGAUAAAAUGAAACUAAAAAUUUCUUACAGUUUAAACAUGUGUGAGCAUCUCCAACCCCUAACCAGCUACAGUCAGAUGAUACUGGCUUCAUCUCAAUUCAUGUGGACAGACUCCAUCCAUGAUGCCUCAUCGCAGAAAGCCCAUCACCUACUUACUGAGUAAACACACACGACUCACUGGCAGAGGCGCUGAGAGCGGACGACGACGUUUCCAUUGCUAGUGUUAUUCGGUACCGUGCAGAGGGCAGCGCAUCCACCAGGAGUGACACUGUGUUCCUGUGAAUGUUACCCGCGACUCAGAGCAAAAAUUAGCCGUGUCAUGACUGGAAUGACGAGGGAUCCGUCUGCUUUCUUCCCUGAGGUUCAGGGGAGGGACAGAGAGCAGGCGGUCCUCAGUUAAUGCGAAAGGAACUGGUUUUUCCAAGCCUCGCCCAUGGCAUUGGUUCUAUGUGCAGGAACCAAGCCACUUGGGCAUUUUGGCAUCGAGAACGGAAUGCCCUUUUGCUUUACAAACAACCUUCUCCCCAGAGACUGAAGACAGGAGAAACGUGUAUACCCAGGGGUUCAAAAGGCACGCACAGGUCUGGGCUACAGACAGGAGGUGGGCCGGGAGCUGACUUGUGAAUAUACUAGAGUUCUACUAUCGCCACAAAUAGGCAAGUGGAGACAUUCUGGAACUGCCAUGAGACCUUCGUUUCCACCAGGCUUUUAUCUAACGGUAAGGAGUGUUUCUUGGCGUGUUUUCAGUUUUUGGAACAGCUCCAAUACUAAAGUCCAAGACAAAACACGCCUCCAAACAACUUUCUACGCUGAAGGUUGUGCUUCCACUCCUACAAGUGAGUUCUGUUGACCCGUAACCAUUUCAUUUUCUGCUGAGAGCAACCAGGACAUACAAGGGACUGGGUGAUCUUUACUACAGAGAGUGGUAUCGUGGGCGACUCUUCUUUUAAAUAACAAAGUCUUUAGGAUUUAAAAGUCAGAGCUCGCAGAUGGAGGAGAAGCCACGUGUUAGGUCUGCUUCUAAAGCAGUUGUCACAUGGUGGGAGGGAGAAGUUCCACUUGUAAUGACAGUGGUGACUGUCAUUAAAUGACACAGACUGAUGCUUCUGAACUUCGGCACGGGUGUGAUGGAACAACGACAGGUGACUGGGUGCAUCUCCGCCCAACUUGGUGGCUGGCAACUGGUCACUCUGUGGGCAUGAAGAUCAUGGAAAUGGGCAAAGGCUACAAAUUAAGUACCCGUGCCUCUGGCAACACACACACACACACACACACACACACACACACACACACACACGCCCUGCAUGGAAAGCCAGAUAUGAAACAUUUACACACACCAUCUGCAGGAGACUAAAACUUCUUGAACAAGGAGCUCCCAUCGUGGCACAGUGGAAACAACUCCAACUAGGAACCAUGAGGUUGCAGGUUCGAUCCCUGGCCUUGCUCAGUGGGUUAAGGAUUCAGCGUUGCUGUGAGCUGUGGUGUAGGUCGCAGACGUGGCUCAGAUCCCGUGUUGCUGUGGCUCUGGUGUAGGCCGGUGGCUACAGCUCUGAUUCGACCCCUAGCCUGGGAACCUCCAUAUGCCGCGGGUUCCCAAGAAACGACAAAAAGACAAAAAACAAACAAACAACAAAAAAACAAACAAACAACAAACCGAAAAAACCUUCUUGAACAGGUUAUUCCUCCUUACACUGAAUCUGUGACUCCACAGGUACAAGCCGGUGUAUUGUUUUCAAUGAGUUGGUUCAAUGAAGUCUAACAAUUCUAACCUCAAAUUGCACAGAUACCUUCCUGUGUCUAUACCGGCAGAAACAGUUCCUUCUCAGUCAUACAUCCUGGUUCUCAGGGUUCUAGGUCUACAGGAUCCAAUCCACCUGGCGUUGGUCUAAUGCCCUGGGAGUCUCAGAGUCUCUAAGACAGCUGGAAUCUUCCAGAAGUCAAUGGCCGUACUAUGAAAAACAUUGACAGUUGGGUUUAAAACAUUCCAAUGAUGCCAAAUGUUGGUUUGAAAAUGUUCUCCAGGAGAAGACUGUUCCAGAAACUGGGUACAGAUCAUAGAUGCCAAUGAGAAUCUGACUCAAUUCGAAUUGUGUUAACUGACAAAGCUAGAAACACUAACUCCUUUGCUAUCCAACAGCAGUUAGAACAUUUACAGAGUUUAAGCAGUUAAAUGCUGUCAUUAUGUUUGAUGGGUACCUAUCUUGCUCUCAUUUUUGUGGUUAUGUACCUCCGUUCUUCUGUCUU